ensembl:snoRNA U3 Small nucleolar RNA U3
AAGACUAUACUUUCAGGGAUCAUUUCUAUAGUUCUUUACUAGAGAAGUCUCUCUGAAUGGGUAGAGCCCUGGAAAUCACAAGGAAGUGGUCAGUGUUCACUCCUGAGCAUGAAGCCGGCUGUGGGUGUUGCUUUACCAUGAUUGCCAUUUGCCAUUGAUGAUCAUUCUUCUCUUCCUUUGAGGGAGUAAGAGGGAGGGAACACAGAAA